rnacentral:rRNA from 1 species
CUUGACAUACUAUGCAAAUCUAAGAGAUUAGACGUUCCCUUCGGGGACAUGGAUACAGGUGGUGCAUGGUUGUCGUCAGCUCGUGUCGUGAGAUGUUGGGUUAAGUCCCGCAACGAGCGCAACCCUUAUUAUCAGUUGCCAGCAUUAAGUUGGGCACUCUGGUGAGACUGCCGGUGACAAACCGGAGGAAGGUGGGGAUGACGUCAAAUCAUCAUGCCCCUUAUGACCUGGGCUACACACGUGCUACAAUGGAUGGUACAACGAGUUGCGAACUCGCGAGAGUAAGCUAAUCUCUUAAAGCCAUUCUCAGUUCGGAUUGUAGGCUGCAACUCGCCUACAUGAAGUCGGAAUCGCUAGUAAUCGCGGAUCAGCAUGCCGCGGUGAAUACGUUCCCGGGCCUUGUACACACCGCCCGUCACACCAUGAGAGUUUGUAACACCCAAAGUCGGUGGGGUAACCUUUUAGGAACCAGCCGCCUAAGGUGGGACAGAUGAUUAGGGUGAAGUCGUAACAAGGUAAGCGUACGUGU